CAAGAAACCAAUACCACCAAACAGAGGUUCAGCUAUGUCCACAGCACCCGCUUGCCGCAAAAGAAAGAGCCAUGUUAAACCGAGAGUCGGAACCUGGUAAUUUUGGUCUCCCCGAUGAUCCGCUCUUGAAGACGAUUGACUCUCCUUAGAACAGCUUGUGGAGGGCUUCAAAAGCACCUGCACACACGAAUAGACAGCAACUGCAGCGGCCGAGCACACUCGCUUAAACCAAACAGAGCAUUUAUUAUGCCCGGAAUCGACAUAUACAAGACGUCGAACCGAGUAAAACGGGUCGCAGCUUCCGUACUCCGUGAUAUGAACCCCAAACUUGCUUCUCCGACUGGUGGUGGUGUGCGUGACAAAUGGAGAUGAGUUCUUCUCUCCUUUUCGUUCUUCAAUAUCUAAACUCAAAUCUGUUUCUCCGACUUGUCAUCCUCAUUAAUGAGUUUAUCCGUUGAAGUCGUAUGGGCUCCUCGAUCUCGAGCGAUGCUUCUCACGUCGUCUAGGACCUGUCUUGAUGCGGCUGCGUCUAUGUCCCUGACACCGCGCCUCCGACUACUCCGACUGUGUCUCCUCCGUCCAGAUUUAUUUUUCUUCUCUUUCUGUCGCCGAAAAUGGUGGUUAAGCCUCUUGGAUAUGCUCUGCGGUAUUUUACGCAGAUUUCCGUCUCUUCGUUUCGUAAUUGAGUGGUUAUAAUUUUUAUUUACUUCUCUCUUGUGUUUUUCGUGUUUGUUCAGAUUGAAUCUGAUUAUAUUUUAUUAUCAAUAGUGUGUUUGGGGAUCUGUUAGAUUCUAAUUUGAUUGAUCUGAUAUUCUUAUUGCAAUAUAUAUAUAUAUAUAUAUAUCUGUUUAGCCUGGGUUAGAUGAUCAGAAAACAAUAAGAAUGAGGAAAAAAGAGCUCGCUGAUUAGCAAUACAUUCCAGAACCAUUUCUUCCAAAGUGAUACUCAUCAAAGCUUCUUUACCGAAACUUCCUCAAGAAAACUGCAGGAGUUACGAGGCUAUGGGUCUAGGCACUCAACAGUUUUUUUUUCCUGGAAAGUGACAUCAAUUUAUAGGCAAGGGUGAUGAAGUGAAAUUCGCCGCAAGUUUGCUAAUGAGGGAUAUCGUUGCUCUCUUGAACAAUGAAGAAUCUUCAGUCAAUGAUGUUAAACUUAGUUCUUAAGAGUUGCCGAGCUAAUACCUGCAAGCAAAGAUGGAACCAUUAGCGGAAAGAGUGGUCAACAGAUAUUGUUUGAGCUCUUGUCCAAGGUGGAACUGCCCUAGGAAUGAUAAAAGAAAAAGACUUGGUUUACGCAACACAAGUAUAUGCUAUUCAGAGAAAUACAUCUUUUUGUUUCCUCCGAGCCAUUUUGAAGCUUGAAGGUUCACUGAUAAUAUAGUUCAGGUUCUGUAUAAGUUGCCCACUUAGGUUUGAUUUUGUUUCUUUCUGUCUUUUUCCCAGGCGUUUACUCAGUAUUUGAGUAUAAAUAUGGGUGAUGCUAAAGAAGUAUCGCAACACUAUAGAUUGAUGUCGAGACAAACAAGAGAUUGUUUGGGAGUGUCCUUUAGAUGUUACGCGUACAUACCCGUUUCAGGUCAAGAGUAUGUGUAAUUGUCUAAUUGUCUAAUUGAAACUCUUAACAAAGAUGAAGUGUACUGAUUAGCUGUUGCAACUGCAUUUUCACUCAUGAGCAAACUCUGUGGUUACUGAUGAAUUUUUUAAAGGAUAUAUUCCUCCCUGAAACUCAAGCCUCCUUCUACUCAUCAUUACAGUGCCUUUCAAAGCCACACACCAUCAAUGGCCACAUUGAACUUUAUGUUCUCCGACUUGGAAGCUGGUUGUUGUGCCAACACGGUCGAAGCUUGACUUCUUAGGUUCGGUGCGGCCUGUAAUGCGAAGAAAGGGAUAGAGCUCAUAAGGCCGACAUACUGUAUCGUCAUCAUUUUCAUCAUUAGUUAACUAUAAUAAUGGUCCAGUUUUGGUUGGGUCAUACUCACAAAAGCUUUGAUGGGUUUCACGUUUGGUGGGUCACUCCCAACUAUAUUUUGUACAUGUUCUUUUUUUUUUUUCACAGCAACUUUUGUUUCAUUGUCGAAAGCUCAAAACAGCGUCUUAUCUUUAAAGCUAAGAUUAUGUUUUUCUA